rnacentral:tRNA from 1 species
ACAAUGGUAGUUCAGUGGUAGAAUUCUCACCUCCCAUACGGGAAACCCUGGUUCAAUUCCCGGCCAACGCA